ensembl:lncRNA
GUGCCUGAUCACCACAAGUGGCGUUCUGGCUGCGCACUGUUGACUGCGCACUGUUGGAGACGGACGCCCCGUCUCGCGCAUGCGCAUUUCAUGCGCAUGCGGAUCGAGGCAUGCCUUGAUAAGCUGCGCACUGUUGACGUUCUCAGUCAACAGUGAGCAGCCAGAACGCUGCAUGUGGUGAUCCGGGCACAAUAUGUGAAAUUGUCCCCGGGUGUGACACGCCACGGCAGGAAAUGAAGCACUGAAGAAAGACUGGAUUUAAAUGAAACCAUUAGGAGGAUUUUAUAACUUGAAGAAGUCCGGGGGGGUGUGGUCGGGGACCACCUCCAUCGGGGCCCCCACCAGGUUCUGCUGUAGGGGGGCAGAGCUCCACCUCAGCCUGUUCGGCCCCCAGACACUCCGGCACCAGUCCCCGCAGGAAGGCGUGGAGCGCCAGGGCCUCUCGUGCAGCCGCGGGGGAAUUCCGGGUAGCCGCGUUGGGUCAUCAGCUGGACAUCAGCAGCAUAGACCCCCCAGGCUCUCCUCCUCCUUGCGGCGUUGGGAAGCCGGCAACUGCCGGCUCUGGUUGCGGAAGACCCGCUCACUGAACCGCCUCUCCAGUGCUCGGAUCAGGGCCUGAAGGUCUCGCUGGUCUGCUUGGUCCAGGUCGAGCAGCACCCGUGCUGCCGUCCCCUCCAAGGCCAGCGCAAGGUGGAUGACCGCCUCCUCGGCACCCCAGCAGUUGUGCCAAUCUGCAAGCCGGAACUGGGCCAGGUAUGGCUCCAGUGCCGUUGCCCCGGAGCACUCCGGCGGCCUAACCGCUGUCCAUGCCACCAGGGGGCGGUAGGCAGCUGCUAGUUCUCCAGCCAUUCCGGUCUUGGCCAAAGGGGGGCGCUGCACUCCCAUAACGCAGGGUGCGUCGUUCUCCAUUGGCUCGACCGUCGGUCUCGAGUCCCUCCC